UAUCCCCCUCCUCCACCUCAUUCCCCACCUCAUCCCUUCUGCACUUCAUCGAGCAACUCCUAUGUCCUCCGUCGCCGUCGAACUCACCACCUCCAUUUCUUCUCCAAACUACCGUCGAACUCACCACUCCUCUCCUCUGUUCAAAAUCGCAUCACCAUCCUCUUCCCAACUCCAUAACCACAUCACUUUCCUCAACCAAUUCCAGAACCGUUCCUUCGAACUCCACCGCACCACCACGUCCUCCUCAUUUUUAAUCCUGUUGCUAAUAGUUCCAUUGUCCUCUCUCUCGAACUUCCGGCGUGUAGGACCACCACUGCACGAUCGCUGGCGUAGAUCUGAGGCGGUUCUGGCGCUGCUCCGACGCGGUCCUGAUGUUGCUUCGAGGCUGCUUCGUCACGGCACGAAGAGGCUGAAGCAGCGAGGUGAAUGGGACGCCCUCUGAGGCAGUUUGGAGUCUUCAACUCUGGAAAAUUGGAAAAAAGGCUUGUGUUGCUGAAGUGCCAUUCUUCUGAACCUGGAUUUUCUCCUUUCUCAUAUAUUUGGUGGGAUUUGAGAUGGCUGAUACUAUUGCUGAAGCAGAAGGAAUAUCUAUGAACAGUGUUUCUUUCAAAGCCCUGUUUGGAAAAGGUUGCAGGAGCUGCUGCUGCUGGUCUUUCUCUCGCUCAUGUUGCUGCAGAAGUGCAUCUGUGAUUGAGAACCUUGGUCAUAUUGAGAUUCUUGUUUGUGCUCAAAUUUGUUAUAUACUACUUGUUACAAUUCUUUUCUCCUUGAUGAAUUGGAAAAUCCCCUUUUAGUUUUCAAGUUUUUACUAAUUUGAUUGGUUAGUCCUUCUUUUCCCCUUCCUGUUGAGAGUGAUGAGGAAGGUGGUUUUUUGAGUGGUUCUGAAGGUGGUGAUGACUCCUCCAAUUUCUUUGAUUGUUUCAUCAGUGGUGGUUUAUUGGAUUUGCUUUACAGUCAAUUGAACAUUGUUAGAUGAUAAUAUCUUUUGGAUUGUCUUUCUUCUAAUGUUAUCAAUUUGCAGGGGUAUAAAAUUAUUGGUUCAUAUAGCGGUGUCAAGAUUUGUAGAUGGACCAAGUCUCAGCUUCGAGCACGAGGUGGUUGCUACAAGCACUCAUUUUAUGGAAUCGAGAGUCAUAGUUUCAUCUUCAGUGAAUCUACAUCUGAAUUUUUAACCAUCAGGAAGCACUGUAAAAGGCUCUAUACCUAUCCCCGAAGGUAUGAAGUCAAAAAUUUCAAAAGAUGAAUUCACAUGAGACAUUGGAGCUUCUAGCUGAAGUAGCAGUGUUGGAGGAGGAAGUGGUUAGACUUGAAGAGCGGGUUGUGAAUUUUAGACAAGGUUUAUAUCAGGAAGCAGUGUACAUUUCCACAAAAAGGAAUGCAGAGAAUUUGAGUGACCCUAUUGACCAAACCCCUAUUAGGAGUUCCAAGCACCAGAGAUCAAAAUCCAUGUCCCAAAGUGAGUUUAAUUCAACUAUGAUAACAACAAGGUUGCCUCAGCCUUCUCUAGCCAGAAGUGCUUCCAGCAGAAAGCUGUUAUUCUCCUCUGAUACUGUCACUGAUCAAACUGCUGGGAAGCUAGCUCAUGGGAAGCAAUUGCACAGAAAGCAAGAUUCAUUCUCUUCUGUCCCAGAAGAGGGAAGGGGAAAGGAGAAUAGGUCAUCUAGCAACUUAGUGAAAGAUAAGCAAUUUCCAGAAAAGAAACUGGGUAAAAUCAUUACUCCAGUAAAGAGGUCUCCAUUCAAACAAGAAUCAGCUGAGAGGAGCUUGGAUCACUUGAAGUUGCAGAGCAGGAAAGGGCACAGACUUCAUCAAGUUCAUCAGAUGAUAAAGUGUCAGAAGUUGAUAGCACGCCCAAUAGAGUUUCAGAGGAUCUUGUGAAAUGCUUGUCUAGCAUAUUCAUGAGAAUUAGCACAUCCAAGGACAAAUUUGGGGAAUCUAAGACGCCUUCGCGCUUCAUAUCAGCAUUGAACCAAUGCAGCAAGGAAAAGGAUCAGUUCUGUGAUCCUUAUGGUAUCUGUUCAGAAUCUAAAACAAGAGAAGUUGGCCCUUAUAAGAAUGUAUGUGAAGUUAAAGCCACCACAGUUGAUCUCAACAGAACAAUAAAUGCAGUGUUUCUAAUCCACAGAUUAAAGUAAGUUGUAGAUGCAUACUAGUUGUUGGUUAAUGAUAUAUGGAUAUCUAUCUAACCUUGCAGACAUAUUCAAAUUCCUACUUGGGAAACUUGCCUCUUUAAAUUUGAAGGGCCUUAAUCAUCAGGAAAAACUUGCAUUCUGGAUAAACACUUAUAAUUCCUGCAUGCUAAAUGCAUAUCUAGAACAAGGCAUACCUGAGAGUCCUGAAAUGGUUGUAGCACUAAUGCAAAAGGCAAUGAUAGUAGUGGGGGGCCAGUUGCUCAAUGCAAUUACAAUAGAGCAUUUUAUCUUGAGACUUCCUUAUCAUCUGAAGUUUACAUGUCCAUAAGCUGCAAAAAAUGAAGAAGUGAAAGCACGAAGCAUAUUUGGCCUGGAAUGGUCUGAGCCUUUAGUAACAUUUGAACUUUCCUGUGGAAUCUGGUCUUCACCUGCAGUAUGUCUUUUGUAUCUCUACUUAGCCGACAAUAUGACUAUAUUAGACCUGAUUUAAUUACUUUUGAGCUAUAGCUACCAUGUUAGUAUGUUACCAACUGGUUUGAUAAUGUAUGACCAAAUUAGGUUGUGCUUUGCUAUCUGUUUGCACGGCUGCAAAUGGAUAUUCACACGGAAUUUAAGAUGAAAAAAGUGAAUGGAGUUCUUCUGUGGAUUGGGUUGAAAAUC